UAAAAUGCUCUGACUCCUGUGGUG
rnacentral:miRNA from 1 species